CAUUUGUUUCAAAGUUGUGAUUUUUAAGGAAAUUAAAUAAUAAUUUUCUAAAAUAUAACAUGCACAUACUUUUUUUGAUCAUUGUAUUGUUGAUUAUCAUUCACGUCACAUCGCUUCGGAAUAGAAACCAGCUUAAUUUACACUAUGUUGUGUAUUGUGCUUAAAUUAUGGAUUGUAUUCAUCAUUUCGGUCCAUAUAAAUAAUUAUAUGGCACCUACCUAUAUAUCGCAGUACUGCGAGUUGACAACCCUUACAAAUAUCCCAAUUUAACCCUUAACCGUGUCAAUUUACCCCGGACGCUGGGUAAAUUGGGACGGCCAUUAUUUUACCGAUUAUUUCUUUAAAAUGAAUAAUUAAAAUUAUGUAACGGUUUUUAUCACCUAGGUACGUUCAAGACUCAACUUAUUUCUUUGGUUGAGCAGUGACUAUUUAAUUGGAACUAUUUUAAAAUUCAAUCUGAAGGUCGAUUUUGUCCCUAUUUACCCCAUUGUACGGUACUAUCCAGCACUCCGAUCGUCGCUAGAUGUGCCGGACUACACGUGUGGCCUAAUCUCAUCCGUAUCAAACUGGAAGUCUCGUGGCGUUUAAAAUUAUAUUUGUAGAACCAUGGUUUGGAAGGAAUGGUUUCUACAGUCUAAGAGAAUAGGGUAAAUCGGUUGAGAUUUAAAAGGAAAUUUUGCAAGAGCCUGUAAAGAACUCUUUGAAUCGGGAUUUGAAAACGAAUUUAUCAGAUAAAUAUUGACGUCUCAAAUGAAGAGGAGGAUCAACACAUUCUACCUGUAAUGCUGUAACAGGACUAGAUUUCAUGGCUCCAGUGAUAAUUCUGAGUGACUUAGACUGUAUAGUGUCUAGUUUUUUGAAAGCAUUCACAUCCCCUGGUUGAAGUAAAAAAGUACCAUAAUCUAAAACUGAUCUUACUAUGGCAUUAUAUAAAAGUUUUAAAUUGAAUGGGUGGGCACCCCACCAUACACCGGCAAGAGAACAUGAGAGAGCUAUGGGUCUGUAUGACAAUACAUCUGAUGAAGAUUUACCCGGUUUGAGAAUGGGUAAAAUAAUUUGUUUUUUCCAUGACUCUGGGAUAACACAUGUAAUGAACAUAGAAUUUAUAAGGUUGAGGUAAUAUGUGAGACUAGAAUCACUCAAAUGGACAAAGAAAGAAUAAGGAAUCUUAUCAUCACCUGGAGCAGAGUCCUUAAGAUUCGAGAUUACCCCCUUCAGUUCAUUAAAUGAAAAAGGUAAAUCAAAAUCUGAAACUGGAUC